GUGCUGGCUUGGGCAGCACAUAUAUUAAAAUUGGAGCAAUACAGAGAAGAUUAGCAUGGC
ensembl:snRNA U6 U6 spliceosomal RNA